rnacentral:rRNA from 1 species
UGUGAAGGAAAGGUGAAAAGGACCCCGGGAGGGGAGUGAAAGAGAACCUGAAACCCUGUGUUUACAAGCUGUGGAAGCACGUUAAGGUGCAACCGCGUACUUUUUGUAGAACGGUCCGGCGAGUUGCGGAUGCUGGCAAGGUUAAGCACUAAAGGUGCGGAGCCGAAGCGAGAGCAAGUCUGAAUAGGGCGUCAAGUCAGCAUGUGCAGACCCGAAACCGGGUGAUCUAUCCAUGUCCAGGUUGAAGCGAAAGUAAAAUUUCGUGGAGGACCGAACGCACAUCCGUUGAAAAGGGUGGCGAUGAGGUGUGGAUAGGGGAGAAAUUCCAAUCGAACCCGGAGAUAGCUGGUUCUCCUCGAAAUAGCUUUAGGGCUAGCCUCGAUACAGAUUUGCGGAGGUAGAGCACUGAAUUUCCUAGGGGGCGUCAAAGCCUACCGAAGAAUAUCAAACUCCGAAUGCCGCGUAAUCGAUUAUCGGGAGUCAGACUGCACGAGAUAAGUUGGGCGGUCAAAAGGGAAAGAGCCCAGACCUUCAGUUAAGGUCCCCAAGUGCGCGUUAAGUGGAAAAGGAUGUGGGAUUUCGAAGACAACCAGGAUGUUGGCUCAGAAGCAGCCAUCCAUUCAAAGAGUGCGUAAUAGCUCACUGGUCGAGAGGUCCUGCGCCGAAAAUGUCCGGGGCUGAAACGCGCCACCGAAACUAAGGAACCGAAAGGUUGGUAGAGGAGCAUUGCAUGCGGAACGAAGCAGUACCGUAAGGAGCUGUGGACUGCAUGGAAGAGAGAAUGCCGGAAUGAGUAGCGAGAUAGAGGUGGGAAUCCUCUAGGCCGAAUAUCCAAGGUUUCCAGAGUAAAGCUGAUCUGCUCUGGGUAAGUCGGGGCCUAAGGCGAGGACGAGAGUCGUAGCCGAUGGACAACAGGUGGAGAUUCCUGUACUGCGGUAUGACAGAACUGUGGGGACACGUAAGGAAAGCGGAAGCCGGGAAUGGAAAGCCCGGUGCAAGCGGGGUACCAGCCACUCUGGCAAAUCCGGGUGGCAAUGGGAAGCCGUGAUGCGGAGCGAAAUAAAGUAGCGAAGUCCGUGAGCCAUGCGUCAAGAAAAGCCGCUAUUGUUUGUACCGUACCCGUACCGUAAACCGACACAGGUGGAUGAGGAGAGAAUCCUAAGGCCGGCGGAAGAAGCAUUGUCAAGGAACUCGGCAAAAUGGCCCCGUAACUUAGGGAUAAGGGGUGCCUCAGAAAUGAGGCCGCAGAGAAUAGGCUCAAGCAACUGUUUAGCAAAAACACAGGUCUAUGCGAAACCGAAAGGUGAGGUAUAUGGGCUGACGCCUGCCCGGUGCUGGAAGGUUAAGAGGAGAGGUUAGCGCAAGCGAAGCUUUGAAUUUAAGCCCCAGUAAACGGCGGCCGUAACUAUAACGGUCCUAAGGUAGCGAAAUUCCUUGUCGGGUAAGUUCCGACCC